UUUCAAGGUACAGUAGAAAUUCGAUAAGUGCAACAUGUUUACGUUUCAGUUACCGAAUGAAAUUCGCUAACUGCAACGGCUGACAGCUGUCAAACAGUUAUCAAUUGCUGUUGGACGCAGCCAGAAUGCACUCAAAAACAUCGCAAUGCAGCUGUAGUGCAUCCGAAAAACAUCGCAACUCAGUUGACGUUUUGUUUUUGACAGAUAGUGGUGCGAUAGCUGCAAAAUUGUUGCACUUAGCGGACUUGCAGUUAAAAAGCAUUGCAGUAAAACCGUUUGCACCAAGCGAACGUCUACUGUAUUCGGAUCAACUGUAUCGUGGUCCAGCAAAAAGCAAGCAACGGUGGCUGUCUCAUCAAGCGAAGCAGAAUACAUAGCUCUGAGCGGUGCAACAGCUGAAGCUCUUUGGUUAUUUGGAUUACUGGAAGAUAUGAAGAUUACCCGUCCUGGAACAAUCGUGGCUGUAUAGGAAUGGCCACUAACCCAGGGGGUGAGAAACUCGGCACACUUCAUUUUGUGCCAAUGUGCCGGCGAUGUGCCGAAGUGUGCCGCCGUACUGGCAGUCAUGCUGUCAGUUGACUUGAAACUUUUUAUAUAACUGGCAACUACGCGUUUGUUUUGGUUUUCGUUUUGUGUUCCAUAAAUGUUUUGUGAUGCGGCCUGUAUCCAUUUUGUGGCUGAGAAAAUGAUGGUGGAUGCCAGUGGAUUCCGUACGUGAUUCCGUACCAGAGUCCUUCAUAAUUGCCCAGAACUCGCGGCUAGAAUCUAUACGGAAAACUUACGAUGCGGAAAGUUGGCCUUCGUCGUGAACCGGAAAGCUUUUCUGGGAAACCAGUUUCAUAACCACCGCUGCUGUCUUGGGUGCUACCGGCUUUCAGGAAGAUUCAAAUACCAUACCAAGAACAGCGACAUCGCAGUCAACCAUCCCCCAAACCAAAGAACUAGGUACAUAAAUUUGCACCGCACGCAGUCACCGACCGCAUCCUGAAGCAAUAACUGAUGUUCCUGAAACGCUCCGGCUGCAGCUAUUGUUUCGAAGAGAGACUAACGACCAACCAUCCCAGUAGUACCUAUAUGGCUCGCACAACCAACUGGCCCACCUGAAGUACCAGCUAAACUACUACCUGAUCUGGAUUUAUGGAAUCGCUGCCGAUAAACGGAUCAAUGUGACCUUCCGGGGAAGGAAUUCACUCAUGCAUUAUGGAAAGCUUCGAGUGUCAUUUCUUGAACAUUUCUCUCCAUUUUAUAUGGAUGUUGGACAUAUAAUGACUAAAUUGUCGAGAUAUAAUAAAUACAGUUUAAUGUGUUAAUAUUUGUCAAUCAAAGAGUAUUACUUUUAUUAUAUAAUAAGCAAUAAAGCAUGUGAAUAUUGCAUACAAAUUA